ACUACUGAUUGCAGAAUUCAUGAUGCAACCCUGUUGAGAAGAGAGUACUGAGAGCCAAACGUGUGGAAAGUGGCAGUUCUACCCUUAAAACUGGAUCUAUCUCCCAAACAUGAAGAUACCCAAGAUAAUCUAUAUCAACCUAAAUGUUCCUGAUGAAUGAAGGACCCCUUUUUGUUGCCAAAGGAAGGGUUAGAGAAAAUAAUGGAACAGCAGCCACCACAGCUUGCCUGGCCUUUGGAAGUUGCUUCAACAACUGAGUGGAUAGAACAAAACUACAGAAGACUCCAUCCUGCUAAGAGUGGUGGUGAAAAUAUAUCUUUGACACCUCUUCCUG